rnacentral:lncRNA from 1 species
ACUGUGAAGUCACAAGAGGCCCUGAGCUCUGUGGGCCCCAGGUGCCCCGGGAAAACUUGGGGGAGAAUGGGCAUCCCACCCCAGCACUUUCUAGGAAGAAGGGCAGCAUUUUGAAGGGCUGGAAGUAGAGGAAGGAGGUUGCGGGUAGAAGACUCCAUACUUUCUGUGACGCCUAUUCCUUAGCUUGUGAUGAAUGUUUUCUCAGUAUCCUAUGCUGAAAACAGGUAGAUACUAAUAUCGAUCUUCAAGGGAGGGCUGUUGAGUAUUGAAUAAGACAAAAACAUGGAAGCAAUCAGCACCAUGCUGCAGGAGGAAAAACAUCUGAAGAAUAUAUUUGUAGACUUCCUGGAAAUUGAUAAGUUGUCUCCAUAACUAAAGCAAGCAGAUUUUACUAAUUAGAAUUAUCUACAUAAUUUUACUUCAUUCACUUCUUUCUGUCAUACUAGGAGAGCCUUUAUAUAACCAAAGAUAUUUUUGGACCAUGAAUUCAGAAAUUCUCGGAGCCACCCAUCAGUGCCUGAGCUUCAGUGAGUCCAUAUCCCAUGUCACCCACGGCAAAGGAGACUCUAAGACUUCUGAAGAGUUUCUUGCUUCUUUCCUGUGGGGCAGUGACUCCACUUCCCAGCAGUAAUGGAAUAUCCUGAAUUAGCUACAUUAAUGUUAGAACCAUUUGGACCUCACCCAGGACUUCAACUACAUUAUGCUAAAGUUACAGAACCCAAAUUUGGCAACUGUCUGCAUCUGAACAACAGAAGUUUCAACAUUCUGCCAACAGAGUAACUCCUGGACGAUUGGCACAGAAGAAGGCACAAGGCAAAUACCCAUCUCUGUACACCCUGUGCUACUGUGUCAUGUGCUGCUCCAGGCAACUCCAAUGGAUUGGCCACCCUGGCCAAUGUGUGAGUUAUAAAGCAAUGAUGUGUAGCUAUUGAACCUACAAUUUGGUUAAAGUUAAACUCUCAAGUUUUAUAUGUUUACAAGCAUAUUGUCCUUUUGUUAAUUUCCUCCCAGUACUCAUUUCUUGACUUCUUUUAGUUUUACUAUGUAGUAAUUUUUAAAAUGUUAGUCAAAGUUAGUUAAUUUAAUUCACUUAGCAGAUUUUCCUGUAAUUUUGGUUAAACAGUAUCCUUUCUGUACAGGCCCUCCAAACACCAGCACUGAGUAGAAAGAGGCUCUGAUUCAUGAAAUGUGAAUUUAUGACAGUUGCCACUCUUAAAAAAAAAAACAAACAGACAGAACUUGAGCAAUACAUGACUGAUGCAUUCUCAGCCUGCUUCCUGUGUUCCAUCUGUCUUUCUGCCAGUGCAUUCACCCUCCAGUGAAACUUUCUACAUUCCACAUUUUCUAUCAAGAAAAGAAAGAGGUUGUAUUGUGAGGUUCUAGUAUGUUACGUUUAUGUUCCCCUGCUUUCUACAAUCCUGUUCAAAGAGUUGCUGACUUAACCACAGAGAGGAUUCCAGAACCUGAGACACAGAAUAAACUUGAGCAAUCAUAGUCCAUCCACUUCAUUGUCUCAUCAAAAACCAAAGGUCCAGUGAAGCUCUGGAACUCAACGCUGUAAAGGAGCGAAGGAGCUUCUAUACAGAGCCUGGAUGCCUGUCUCCUUAUCCUACUUCAGUGGACUUGACUGCAAUCCGGAUUAUGCUGUUUUCUAAGCAUUUAAAAUAAAAUAAAAAGUAUAAUAGUGUGAUAAGUUCUUUCACAAAGCAAGCAAUCACAUUUAUGUUUCUACUUACAUUUGGGUUUUCCAAAUAUGUGUGUGUGUGUGUGUGUGUGUGUGUGUGUGUGUAUGUAGACUUUAAACAUGGUGCAUCCAUCAUGUUGCACUAAAUCAAAACCACCAAAUAAUGAUGUAGAACUAAUAAAUCAAAACCAUCAAAUAAUGACAUAGAAAUCCAAUUCUCCCACCUUACACCCAUUAAGAUGGCUACU